ACAAGCUACUAAGUGCGAUCGGUGGAUGCCUUGGCACCAAGAGCCGAUGAAGGACGUUGUGACCUGCGAUAAGCCCUGGGGAGUUGGUAAACGAGCUGUGAUCCGGGGAUGUCCGAAUGGGGAAACCUUGAAUGUCCGGAGUCAUGUCCGGUGACCCUGCCCUGAAUGUAUAGGGGUGUGGGAGGUAACGCGGGGAAGUGAAACAUCUCAGUACCCGUAGGAAGAGAAAACAAUUGUGAUUCCGUGAGUAGUGGCGAGCGAAAGCGGAUGUGGCCAAACCGUGUGUGUGUUCAAGCCGGCAGGUGUUGCAUGUGCGGGGUUGUGGGGGCCUGUGUGAUCCUGCUGCCGUGGGAUCGGCUUGCAUGUGGUGUGAAGUUGAAUCGUCUGGGAAGGCGGACCGUAGUGGGUGAGAGUCCCGUAGACGUGAGUGUCAUGUGUGGUUGGCAGGUUGCCCCAAGUAGCGCGGUACUCGUGGAAUGUCGCGUGAAUCUGGCGGGACCACCCGUUAAGCCUAAAUACUUCUUGGUGACCGAUAGUGUAUCAGUACCGUGAGGGAAUGGUGAAAAGUACCCCGGGAGGGGAGUGAAAUAGUACCUGAAACCGGUCGCAUACAAGCCGUCGGAGCCUUGCGGGGUGACGGCGUGCCUAUUGAAAAAUGAGCCUGCGAGUUAGUGGUAUGUGGCGAGGUUAACCUGUGUGGGGUAGUCGUAGCGAAAGCGAGUCCGAUAAGGGCGCCAGUCGCAUGCUCUAGACCCGAAGCGGUGUGAUCUAUCCAUGGCCAGGAUGAAGCGUCGGUAAGACGUCGUGGAGGUCCGAACCCACUUCAGUUGAAAAUGGAGGGGAUGAGCUGUGGAUAGGGGUGAAAGGCCAAUCAAACACCGUGAUAGCUGGUUCUCCCCGAAAUGCAUUUAGGUGCAGCGUUGUGUGGUUCGUGUCGGAGGUAGAGCACUGGAUGGUCUAGGGGGCCUAUCAGCUUACCGAAACCAGCCAAACUCCGAAUGCCGGCACGUGGAGUGCAGCAGUGAGACGGCGGGGGAUAAGCUUCGUCGUCGAGAGGGAAACAGCCCAGAUCAUCAGCUAAGGCCCCUAAGUGAUAGCUAAGUGGAAAAGGAUGUGGAGUUGCGUAGACAACCAGGAGGUUGGCUUGGAAGCAGCCAUCCUUGAAAGAGUGCGUAAUAGCUCACUGGUCAAGUGAUUCCGCGCCGACAAUGUAGCGGGGCUCAAGUUAUCCGCCGAAGCUGUGGCAACUUUUUUGAGUUGGGUAGGGGAGCGUCGUGUUCGUGGUGAAGCAGCCUGGUGAUGGGUUGUGGAGUGGAUGCGAGUGAGAAUGCAGGCAUGAGUAGCGAAUGACGGGUGGGAAACCCGUCCGCCGAAUAUCCAAGGGUUCCAGGGUCAAGUUAAUCUGCCCUGGGUGAGUCGGGACCUAAGGCGAGGCCGACAGGCGUAGUCGAUGGACGACCAGUUGAUAUUCUGGUACCGGUGUAGCACCGUCCGUGUCGAGGUGUGUGAUGCUAAGCGUGCGAGUGUCCUGGUGAUCCCUUCGGGGUGAUCUUGUGGCGUGAGUGUGUGAACCGAUCAUGUAGUAGACAAGCUGCGGAGGGACACAGUGAGGUAGCUCGUCCCCGGCGAUGGUUGUCCGGGGCUAAAUGUGUGGACUGUCUGGUAGGUAAAUCCGUCAGACGUGUGGUUGAGGCAUGAUGGCGAGCCAUGUUUGUGUGGUGAGCGAGUGAUCCUGUGCUGUCGAGAAAAGCUUCGUGAGCGAGGUGUGAGCCGCCCGUACCCUAAACCGACACUGGUGGAUUGGUAGAGUAUACCGAGGCGAUCGAGAGAAUCAUGGUGAAGGAACUCGGCAAAAUGCCCCCGUAACUUUGGAAGAAGGGGGACCUGAGCUGUUGCCGCCACGUGCUGGUGGUUGCGGUGAGGGGCGCAGAGAAUUGGGGGAAGCGACUGUUUACCAAAAACACAGGUCCGUGCGAAGUCGUAAGACGAUGUAUACGGACUGACUCCUGCCCGGUGCUGGAAGGUUAAGGGGAACUGUUAGCUUUGGCGACGCGGUGAACUUAAGCCCCAGUAAACGGCGGUGGUAACUAUAACCAUCCUAAGGUAGCGAAAUUCCUUGUCGGGUAAGUUCCGACCUGCACGAAUGGAGUAACGACUUCCCUACUGUCUCCACCAUGAACUCGGUGAAAUUGCAUUACGAGUAAAGAUGCUCGUUACGCGCAGCAGGACGGAAAGACCCCGGGACCUUCACUAUAGUUUGGUAUUGGUGAUCGGUUCGACUUGUGUAGGAUAGGUGGGAGACUGUGAAGCUGUCACGCUAGUGGUGGUGGAGUCGUUGGUGAAAUACCACUCUGGUCGUUCUGGUUAUCUAACGUUGGACCAUGAUCUGGUUCACGGACAGUGCCUGAUGGGUAGUUUGACUGGGGCGGUCGCCUCCUAAAAGGUAACGGAGGCGCCCAAAGGUUCCC
rnacentral:rRNA from 1 species